UGCCAGUUGACUCUGCCUGACAGGCUUUCA
rnacentral:piRNA from 1 species